rnacentral:rRNA from 1 species
UACGGAGGGUCCAAGCGUUAUCCGGAAUCAUUGGGUUUAAAGGGUCCGUAGGCGGUUUUGUAAGUCAGUGGUGAAAGCCCAUCGCUCAACGGUGGAACGGCCAUUGAUACUGCAAGACUUGAAUUAUUGGGAAGUAACUAGAAUAUGUAGUGUAGCGGUGAAAUGCUUAGAGAUUACAUGGAAUACCAAUUGCGAAGGCAGGUUACUACUAAUGGAUUGACGCUGAUGGACGAAAGCGUGGGGAGCGAACAGG